UAGGGAAUCUUCGGCAAUGGACGAAAGUCUGACCGAGCAACGCCGCGUGAGUGAAGAAGGUUUUCGGAUCGUAAAACUCUGUUGUUAGAGAAGAACAAGGACGUUAGUAACUGAACGUCCCCUGACGGUAUCUAACGAGAAAGCCACGGCUAACUACGUGCCAGCAGCCGCGGUAAUAAGUAGGUGGCAAGCGUUGUCCGGAUUUAUUGGGCGUAAAGCGAGCGCAGGCGGUUUCUUAAGUCUGAUGUGAAAGCCCCCGGCUCAACCGGGGAAGGUCAUUGGAAACUGGGAGACUUGAGUGCAGAAGAGGAGAGUGGAAUUCCAUGUGUAGCGGUGAAAUGCGUAGAUAUAUGGAGGAACACCAGUGGCGAAGGCGGCUCUCUGGUCUGUAACUGACGCUGAGGCUCGAAAGCGUGGGGAGCAAACAGG
rnacentral:rRNA from 1 species